rnacentral:rRNA from 1 species
GCAGCGAAAUGCGAUAAGUAAUGUGAAUUGCAGAAUUCAGUGAAUCAUCGAAUCUUUGAACGCACAUUGCGCCCGCCAGUAUUCUGGCGGGCAUGCCUGUUCGAGCGUCAUUACAACCCUCAGGCCCCCGGGCCUGGCGUUGGGGAUCGGCGGAAGCCCCCUGCGGGCACAACGCCGUCCCCCAAAUACAGUGGCGGUCCCGCCGCAGCUUCCAUUGCGUAGUAGCUAACACCUCGCAACUGGAGAGCGGCGCGGCCACGCCGUAAAACACCCAACUUCUGAAUGUUGACCUCGAAUCAGGUAGGAAUACCCGCUGAACUUAAGCAUAUCAAUAAGCGGAGGAAAAGAAACCAACAGGGAUUGCCCCAGUAACGGCGAGUGAAGCGGCAACAGCUCAAAUUUGAAAUCUGGCUCUCGGGCCCGAGUUGUAAUUUGUAGAGGAUGCUUUUGGUGAGGUGCCUUCCGAGUUCCCUGGAACGGGACGCCAUAGAGGGUGAGAGCCCCGUCUGGUUGGACACCGAUCCUCUGUAAAGCUCCUUCGACGAGUCGAGUAGUUUGGGAAUGCUGCUCUAAAUGGGAGGUAUAUGUCUUCUAAAGC